AACGAACGCUGGCGGCAUGCCUAACACAUGCAAGUCGAACGAGAUCUUCGGGUCUAGUGGCGCACGGGUGCGUAACGCGUGGGAAUCUGCCCUUUGGUUCGGAAUAACAGUUGGAAACGACUGCUAAUACCGGAUGAUGACGAAAGUCCAAAGAUUUAUCGCCAGAGGAUGAGCCCGCGUAGGAUUAGCUAGUUGGUGUGGUAAAGGCGCACCAAGGCGACGAUCCUUAGCUGGUCUGAGAGGAUGAUCAGCCACACUGGGACUGAGACACGGCCCAGACGCCUACGGGAGGCAGCAGCGGGGAAUAUUGGAAAAUGGGCGAAAGCCUGAUCCAGCAAUGCCGCGUGAGUGAUGAAGGCCUUAGGGUUGUAAAGCUCUUUUACCCGGGAUGAUAAUGACAGUACCGGGAGAAUAAGCUCCGGCUAACUCCGUGCCAGCAGCCGCCGUAA
rnacentral:rRNA from 1 species